AUUGAACGCUGGCGGCAUGCCUAACACAUGCAAGUCGAACGGCAGCGGACCUUCGGGUGCCGGCGAGUGGCGAACGGGUGAGUAAUAUAUCGGAACGUACCUUUCAGUGGGGGAUAACGUAGCGAAAGUUACGCUAAUACCGCAUAUUCUGUGAGCAGGAAAGCAGGGGAUCGCAAGACCUUGCGCUGAUUGAGCGGCCGAUAUCAGAUUAGCUAGUUGGUGAGGUAAAGGCUCACCAAGGCGACGAUCUGUAGCGGGUCUGAGAGGAUGAUCCGCCACACUGGAACUGAGACACGGUCCAGACUCCUACGGGAGGCAGCAGUGGGGAAUUUUGGACAAUGGGCGCAAGCCUGAUCCAGCCAUGCCGCGUGAGUGAAGAAGGCCUCGGUUG
rnacentral:rRNA from 1 species